UACGUAGGGUGCAAGCGUUGUCCGGAAUUAUUGGGCGUAAAGCGCACGUAGGCGGCUUUGCAAGUCGGAUGUGAAAUCCCUCGGCUUAACCAAGGAAGUGCAUCCGAAACUGCAGAGCUUGAGUACUUAAGAGGAUCGCGGAAUUCCCGGUGUAGAGGUGAAAUUCGUAGAUAUCAGGUGGAACACCAGUGGCGAAGGCGGCUUUCUGGACGGUAACUGACGCUGGAGACGCGAAAGCGUGGGGAGCAAACAGG
rnacentral:rRNA from 1 species